CCUACGGGAGGCAGCAGUCGGGAAUCUUGGGCAAUGGGCGAAAGCCUGACCCAGCAACGCCGCGUGAGGGAUGAAGGCCUUCGGGUCGUAAACCUCUGUCGGGAGGGAAGAACGGUGACGUUUCAAAUAGGCUCGUCACCUGACGGUACCUCCAAAGGAAGCACCGGCUAACUCCGUGCCAGCAGCCGCGGUAAUACGGAGGGUGCAAGCGUUGUUCGGAAUCACUGGGCGUAAAGCGCGUGUAGGCGGCUUGGCAAGUCGAAUGUGAAAUCCCGGGGCCCAACCCCGGAACUGCAUUCGAAACUGCCUCGCUAGAGUCUCGGAGAGGAAGGCAGAAUUCCCGGUGUAGGGGUGAAAUCCGUAGAUAUCGGGAGGAAUACCAGCGGCGAAGGCGGCCUUCUGGACGAUGACUGACGCUGAGACGCGAAAGCGUGGGGAGCAAACAGGAUUAGAUACCCUGGUAGUCCACGCCGUAAACGUUGUGAGCUAGGUGUCGCGGGUAUUGACCCCUGCGGUGCCGUCGUUAACGCAUUUAGCUCACCGCCUGGGGAGUACGGUCGCAAGACUAAAACUCAAAGGAAUUGACGG
rnacentral:rRNA from 1 species